AGAACUUUGCACAAAUACUAUGUUAAUAGUGUGGCAGCCCCAUUCUAAAAAUCGCCGAAAUCGGACCAUAGGUUUUUAAGGCCCCAUAUAUCGAACACGAGGACCUCGGUGCUUCUAACCUAAUAUUAUGGUUUCCAACUUUCAAUGGAUUUUAUACGAAUAUGUGGGUCAAAUUGUGUAUUAUAUAAUAUAAAUAAAGUUAAAUAUGUAAAUUGCGAGAGUAUAAAAUGUUCGGUUGCACCCGAACUUAGCCCUUCCUUACUUGUUUAUUUUUAUUUUUUACUUUUUGUUGCUUUUUCAUACUAUUCGUACAUUUUCUUAAUGAAUGUGCACUUGCCUGUAAAUAUAAGUAUGAUCAUAAGUACAUAUCUACGUAAUAUUUCAUUUAAUCCAUUUAUCUUACCUUUUUUUGUAUGUUACUAAUGACAGCUGGAAUACAGGUGUCAUUUAAGAAAGUAGAACCUUUCACUUUUCUUAGAGUUUAGCAAACUUUAUAUUAUCUGUAUCACUAAGAGCCUUAUGAUACGACAAAGGGCUUGGACUCUGUGAUAAAGUUCUUAAGCCAGUCCAUUCACUUCACUGUUAUUCAUUUUAUGUGUGUCCCCACUAAAACCCGCUAUCAACCACCCGGAAGGUACCCGCUUUCAAUGGUCCCAAGGUUGUCUCUGCUAAGAGGACAAGGUGAGGAUUUUAUGAAGCAGUGCGUUCAGAGACGACCAAUGUAAAAAGGGAGUCUCCCAACCGACACCUACCACAUCAACUUAAUGAUAACGGAAGGAGAACGUACUCUAAGGCCUGCCAGGGUUUUAACAGGAUGGAGACAGUCUCGGCACUUCUAAAGGGUUUCACCCCACCAUACGCAAGUGGCGGAAUACGUCGACCACCAGGUCAAGCUGCAACCAAAUCCCAAAAAUAUUAAACCUAAAUCGUUGUCCAUGUCUGGUCCGGGUCCGUAAAGAGUUUUAAAGGCCAUAAAGGCGGUAGAUCAUUUACCGUUAGUUGACCUACCUUACAUCCCCAUCUAGAUCCUUAUACCAGAGUAAAGAAUUUGUUCGCUAUCAGGUUGCUUUCAGAAAUAUUCAAAAUGGCCUAAGAACUUUAUUUCAAACUGCUAAAACGAAUAAGAAAUAAUUAUGUAGAACUCUCCAACCGUUUAAAACUCGAGCAUGAUUUCGAGAUCUUUAUAAAAUUAAUACAUAUUUCUCUAUAUGACAAUAGAUUCUCAUUGUAAUAAUAUUCUAGAUCAUAUAGAAAAUUGACUGUCGAGAAAAAGCGAAUGACCAACUACGUUAUAGCCACUGCUCGCAUUUUUUUUAGCAUGUUUUAUAAAACGGUUCUCCCAUAUAAGCUUUAAACCUUGUAAAUUCUUGAAACCUUAUAAAUUUAUACUACAAUCAAUUUUUAUACUUAAUACAUAUAAUGAACAUUGACAUAAUAGCUUUAUAAAAAAAUUAUUUAUAUAGUAUAGAUUAUGAUUUGUUCAACAAAACUUCAUAAAUUUUGUAAAUAUUAGCAUUUCGUGACUUUUCCCAAAACUGAAAAUUCGCUGAAAAUAUCUUCAUAUUUACAAAACAACCACAUAUUUUCAGAUAGUGAAUUCUUACAAAGUACUGUUGUACAUACAUAUGUACAUAUGUAUAUGUACUUUCAUUGCUGACUAGUAUUUCACUAUUUAUUUACUUUUUCAGUUUUAUCCAUUUUUUUUCUUCCAAAAAACAUAUUUAUACGCAUGCGCAACUUCAGACAACUUAAUCAGCGAAUACCUACAUGCUCACUGAACACUGUCAGUAAUUUAAAUGGAAAGUUACAAGACAAAUAAGAAAACGUCGUCGCCCAGCGCUCGGCGAUACGACUCCACGUUAUUGGGCUGGAUUAUGAAUUUCGAUAUGGAUUACGUGCCGUCGCCAGGAAGAUGAAACGCCAAGUCAACAUGACCGCAAGCAAAUAAACACACAACGAGACUGAAAUGCAUACAUAUAUAGAGCCAAGGGCGGCACCACCAUUCGCUGAACUCAUCCAUUUAUUUUGUUCACCUCCGAAAAUGGAUUAGAAAUUUGCUUUUUGCACCCAGUGAAGUGGAGAGCUCAAUAGGAAAACUAGAGCAGUUUUGUACGUAUGUGUUGUUGUUGUAUUUAUUGUAAAUUUGAAUUAGUAAAUAUCAUCUUGUUUGCUGGGGUCUGUUGACAACACACCAGGUUACGACACCUGUUUUGUGGGCGCUUCGGAAGUGGUGUGUUGUUACUGCCAAGAGCAGUACGACUUUCUGACCCAGCCAUUUUGCUUCAGCUGUUCAUUGCGCUUUUCUGUGCUGCCCUUAUGCAUUGUAAAUUAACGCCAGAUAUUCUGUAAAAUGCAAAAAAAUGCAUAUAAAAACUGCAAAUAAAAAAUAUGAAAAUUUUCAAUAAAAAAAUUGUUUUAUUGAAAAAGUAAGGUAGCAACGCAAAGCUUUAUUAGCGGUAGUAAGUAUAAACAACAUUUUUUGAAACUUAUUUGUUGAAAUAAAUACAUUUUGGUGGAUAUUUCCCUAAAAAUACGAGAUUUGCAAUACAUUUUUAAUUUUAAAAAAUCACUGAUAACAUCUACAUUACAGUUUCUUAGAUACGUUUGUAGAGCAUGCGAUUCUGCAGAUUUCGAAAUUUUUAGAUCUUCCCUAGGACCAACGGUUCAAAAGUUAUUCGCAUUUUUGUGUUUCGCAGCUACCUACUUCCUGCUCCUGGUCGCCUGGUAGAAAUCCCGGAUUUUCGCAAAAAUUUGAAAUGCACUUUUAUGGCAGCGGCGCCGGCAGAGCCCCGGAGCUGCGCGCAGGUGUUGCAUAUGUAAAGGGGCAUAUGUGGCAACCGGAUGGCGGAUAUGGCGGGACCGGAAGCUGUCGCCGGCCGGAAACCGGAAACGUAAAUUAACGGUCCCUACUUCCGGUUAUGAAGUGAACCGGAAGUGAAAA